AACGACAGGAGGAGGAGGUUGCGAUCGCUCAACAGCCUGAGGACGCUCAACACGUCAGAUCAAGAUGAGCGUGCCCGAAGUUGUGUCACAUCUACAGAGGAUUUCACGGCGCUGAUCCAUUCUGCAGUACUCGAUUUUUUUUUCUGGUGUGACAAAGUGAACUGGAAAAAACGCCCCACGCCGAAUGGACCAAAUGGACAGCUUUCCACAGAGCAAUAUAGGUUGGUGGCUUAUCGUGUUGUGCUGGAGUGGGCCUUGAAGGGAGAGACAUUGGGCAGAGGAAAUCGAACACCAUUGCCAUCAUGUGUGGUCGUUGCUAUUCGUAAAAAAUAUCCAUCAGAGUCUGGUAUAUAUAUUGGCUUUCAAGAGGCACAGGAGGCAAUAAAUAUGCUGUAACUGAUUUCAUGAAUAAAGUCUUUGCAAAUCCUGUCA
ensembl:lncRNA